AUACGUAGGGUGCAAGCGUUAAUCGGAAUUACUGGGCGUAAAGCGCACGCAGGCGGUCUGUCAAGUCGGAUGUGAAAUCCCCGGGCUCAACCUGGGAACUGCAUUCGAAACUGGCAGGCUAGAGUCUUGUAGAGGGGGGUAGAAUUCCAGGUGUAGCGGUGAAAUGCGUAGAGAUCUGGAGGAAUACCGGUGGCGAAGGCGGCCCCCGGGACAAAGACAGACGCUCAGGGGCGAAAGCGUGGGGAGCAAACAGGAUUAGAUCCCCUGUUAGUCCGCGCCGUAAACGAUGUCGACUUGGAGGUUGUGCCCUUGAGGCGUGGCUUCCGGAGCUAACGCUUUAAGUCGACCGCCUGGGGAGUACGGCCGCAAGGUUAAAACUCAAAUGAAUUGACGGGG
rnacentral:rRNA from 1 species